rnacentral:rRNA from 1 species
AUUGAACGCUGGCGGCAUGCCUUACACAUGCAAGUCGAACGGUAACAGGUCUUCGGAUGCUGACGAGUGGCGAACGGGUGAGUAAUACAUCGGAACGCGCCUAGUAGUGGGGGAUAACUACUCGAAAGAGUGGCUAAUACCGCAUGAGAGAUACGGAUGAAAGCAGGGGAGCGCAAGACAUCGUGCUACUAGAGCGGCCGAUGGCAGAUUAGGUAGUUGGUGGGAUAAAAGCUUACCAAGCCGACGAUCUGUAGCUGGUCUGAGAGGACGAUCAGCCACACUGGGACUGAGACACGGCCCAGACUCCUACGGGAGGCAGCAGUGGGGAAUUUUGGACAAUGGGCGCAAGCCUGAUCCAGCAAUGCCGCGUGCAGGAUGAAGGCCUUCGGGUUGUAAACUGCUUUUGUACGGAACGAAAAGCCCUGGGUUAAUACCCUGGGGUCAUGACGGUACCGUAAGAAUAAGCACCGGCUAACUACGUGCCAGCCGCCGCAGUAAAAC